AUUGAACGCUGGCGGCAUGCUUUACACAUGCAAGUCGAACGGUAACAGGUUAAGCUGACGAGUGGCGAACGGGUGAGUAAUGCAUCGGAACGUGCCCGGUCGUGGGGGAUAACGCAGCGAAAGCUGCGCUAAUACCGCAUACGAUCUGAGGAUGAAAGCGGGGGACCGUAAGGCCUCGCGCGAUCGGAGCGGCCGAUGUCAGGUUAGGUAGUUGGUGGGGUAAAGGCUCACCAAGCCAACGAUCUGUAGCUGGUCUGAGAGGACGACCAGCCACACUGGGACUGAGACACGGCCCAGACUCCUACGGGAGGCAGCAGUGGGGAAUUUUGGACAAUGGGCGAAAGCCUGAUCCAGCAAUGCCGCGUGCAGGAAGAAGGCCUUCGGGUUGUAAACUGCUUUUGUACGGAGCGAAAGGGUCUCCUCUAAUACAGGGGGCUCAUGACGGUACCGUAAGAAUAAGCACCGGCUAACUACGUGCCAGCCGCCGCGGUAA
rnacentral:rRNA from 1 species